rnacentral:rRNA from 1 species
UAUAGGCGAUUGAUUAAGCGCGCGAUUCGCCUGUGCCAGCAGCCGCGGUAAUUCCAGCUCCAAUAGCGUAUACUAAAGUUGUUGCGGUUAAAAAGCUCGUAGUUGGAUCUUGGAAUGUGUUCAAGCGGGUCAGCUUCUGGCUGUGCGCUGCUUGACGUGUUCUUCUAUUUGGUUUUGGUGCGGUGCGCUUAACUGCGUGUCGCUCCCGGCCGAAACGUUUACCUUGAAAAAAUUAGAGUGUUCAAAGCAGACCUGUUUGAGUCUGAAUAUUCGUGCAUGGAAUAAUGAAAUAUGAAUUCGGUUCUAUUUUGUUGGUUUUCGGAACUCGAGUUAAUGAUCAAGAGGGACAGACGGGGGCAUUCGUACUCUGCCGUUAGAGGUGAAAUUCUUGGAUCGGCGGAAGACGCGCAACUGCGAAAGCAUUUGCCAAGAAUGUUUUCUUUAAUCAAGAACGAUAGUCGGAGGUUCGAAGACGAUCAGAUACCGUCCUAGUUUCGACUGUAAACUAUGCCAGCUAACGAUCAGACAGAGUUCUCUACGACUUGUCUGGCAGUUUCCGGGAAACCAAAGCGUUUGGGUUCCGGGGGAAGUAUGGUUGCAAAGCUGAAACUUAAAGGAAUUGACGGAAGGGCACCACCAGGAGUGGAGCCUGCGGCUUAAUUUGACUCAACACGGGGAAACUCACCCGGCCCGGACACAGUGAGGAUUGACAGAUUGAGAGUUCUUUCUUGAUUCUGUGGGUGGUGGUGCAUGGCCGUUCUUAGUUGGUGGAGCGAUUUGUCUGGUUAAUUCCGAUAACGAACGAGACUCUGGCAUGUUAAAUAGUCGCGGAAGUGCGUAUGCACUUGCCGAAUUGACUUCUUAGAGGGACUAGUGAUUUUAAUUCACACGAGAUUGAGCAAUAACAGGUCUGUGAUGCCC